GCGACAGUGGCGGAAUUGGAAGACGCGUAGCCUUGAGGUGGCUAUGGAUAUUCAUCUGUGUGGGUUCAAGUCCCACUUGUCGCA
rnacentral:tRNA from 1 species